rnacentral:rRNA from 1 species
GUGGAUUAGAUACCCGGGUAGUCCACACCGUAAACGUUGGGCGCUAGGUGUGGGAUCCAUUCCACGGGUUCCGUGCCGCAGCUAACGCAUUAAGCGCCCCGCCUGGGGAGUACGGCCGCAAGGCUAAAACUCAAAGGAAUUGACGGGGGCCCGCACAAGCGGCGGAGCAUGCGGAUUAAUUCGAUGCAACGCGAAGAACCUUACCUGGGUUUGACAUAGGAAGAAAUCCAUCAGAGAUGGUGGGUCCGUAAGGGCUUUCUACAGGUGGUGCACGGCCGUCGCCAACU